rnacentral:rRNA from 1 species
GAUGAACGCUGGCGGCGUGCCUAAUACAUGCAAGUCGAGCGAACAGACGAGGAGCUUGCUCCUCUGACGUUAGCGGCGGACCGGUGAGUAACACGUGGAUAACCUACCUAUAAGACUGGGAUAACUUCGGGAAACCGGAGCUAAUACCGGAUAAUAUAUUGAACCGCAUGGUUCAAUAGUGAAAGACGGUUUUGCUGUCACUUAUAGAUGGAUCCGCGCCGCAUUAGCUAGUUGGUAAGGUAACGGCUUACCAAGGCAACGAUGCGUAGCCGACCUGAGAGGGUGAUCGGCCACACUGGAACUGAGACACGGUCCAGAUUCCUACGGGAGGCAGCAGUAGGGAAUCUUCCGCAAUGGGCGAAAGCCUGACGGAGCAACGCCGCGUGAGUGAUGAAGGUCUUCGGAUCGUAAAACUCUGUUAUUAGGGAAGAACAAAUGUGUAAGUAACUAUGCACGUCUUGACGGUACCUAAUCAGAAAGCCACGGCUAACUACGUG